CCUACGGGCGGCUGCAGUGGGGAAUAUUGGACAAUGGGCGAAAGCCUGAUCCAGCCAUGCCGCGUGUGUGAAGAAGGCCUUCGGGUUGUAAAGCACUUUCAGUGGGGAAGAAAGCCUUGGGGCUAAUACCCUCGAGGAAGGACAUCACCCACAGAAGAAGCACCGGCUAACUCCGUGCCAGCAGCCGCGGUAAUACGGAGGGUGCGAGCGUUAAUCGGAAUUACUGGGCGUAAAGCGCGCGUAGGCGGUCUGAUAAGCCGGUUGUGAAAGCCCCGGGCUCAACCUGGGAACGGCAUCCGGAACUGUCAGGCUAGAGUGCAGGAGAGGAAGGUAGAAUUCCCGGUGUAGCGGUGAAAUGCGUAGAGAUCGGGAGGAAUACCAGUGGCGAAGGCGGCCUUCUGGACUGACACUGACGCUGAGGUGCGAAAGCGUGGGUAGCAAACAGGAUUAGAUACCCUAGUAGC
rnacentral:rRNA from 1 species